UACGGGGGGGGUAAGCGUUGUUCGGAAUUACUGGGCGUAAAGGGCUCGUAGGCUGCCAACUAAGUCAGACGUGAAAUCCCUCAGCUUAACUGGGGAACUGCGUCUGAUACUGGAUGGCUUGGAUUCGGGAGAGGAAUGCGGAAUUCCAGGUGUAGCGGUGAAAUGCGUAGAUAUCUGGAGGAACACCGGUGGCGAAGGCGGCUUUCUGGCCUGUUCUUGACGCUGAGGCGCGAAGGCUAGGGGAGCGAACGGG
rnacentral:rRNA from 1 species